GGGGUUGUGGCUCAGCGGUAGAGCGCUCGCCUUGUGCAUGCGAGACCCUGGGAUCGAUCCUCAGCAAUACAU
rnacentral:tRNA from 1 species